rnacentral:rRNA from 1 species
UACGAACGCUGGCGGCGUGCCUAAUACAUGCAAGUCGAACGCUGAAGGAGGAGCUUGCUUCUCUGGAUGAGUUGCGAACGGGUGAGUAACGCGUAGGUAACCUGCCUGGUAGCGGGGGAUAACUAUUGGAAACGAUAGCUAAUACCGCAUAAGAGUAGAUGUUGCAUGACAUUUGCUUAAAAGGUGCAAUUGCAUCACUACCAGAUGGACCUGCGUUGUAUUAGCUAGUUGGUGGGGUAACGGCUCACCAAGGCGACGAUACAUAGCCGACCUGAGAGGGGGAUCGGCCACACUGGGACUGAGACACGGCCCAGACGCCUACGGGAGGCAGCAGUAGGGAAUCUUCGGCAAGGGACGGAAGUCUGACCGAGCAACGCCGCGGGAGUGAAGAAGGGUGUCGGAUCGUAAAGCUCGGUUGUAAGAGAAGAACGAGUGUGAGAGUGGAAAGUUCACACUGUGACGGUAUCUGACCAGAAAGGGACGGCUAACUACGUG